CCUGAAUCCACUUUGAACCCUCUAUGAUGUUAAAUCACUCAGCAUGGGAGAAUUUACAUCACAGAAAGAAGCAAUUAUGACAAAUUGAGGCAUUUUAUUGAGGUUACCCAGUUGCAAGCACUCUACUCCCUCUCUAUAUAAUAUAUAUUAAAUAGAAUAUAGAGGAAGUUUUCCAAAUUUGGAAGAUUAUAUAUCAUGGACUCAAAAAGCUAUUUCAGAAAUCUGCAGCAACUGAGGAAAAGAAAGUCUUCAUAAAAGGUAAGGUGUUCCUACCUUGGAGGGAGUCAUCUAUUCACCAAAAUAGGAGAAGCUACCUCCUGCAACACAACAUGUUGAAAAUCUCUUUUUCAAAGCUCUGUUUAGAAUGCCAUCUGGUACAAACAUGCUUCAUAAAACAAAGAAUGGGUGAUGGGGCCUGGCACAUCUACAACUCUGUUAGUGAAGGAAUGUUUGUCAUGGUACCCUUAAUGGGUGAACAGCAACCUGCAAAAUGAUGAACAGCAAGUGGGGGCCAGUUCAUUAGGCACAUCAUCUAAUUAUAGACGGAGCCCUGGCAAACAGCACAUCAAAGACUGAGCAUGCUCGUGGUCAUCAGUAUGGAGACAAUACCUCUAAAGUACUCAGUAAUAGGGCCUGAAAUAAUGGAGUCCAAGAAAAGCACCAGUACUGGAAGCAUGAACAGAUUGCUGGGCUGAACUACCCUGAUGAGGAGCCAAAA
rnacentral:lncRNA from 1 species